AUUGAACGCUGGCGGCAUGCCUUACACAUGCAAGUCGAACGGCAGCACGGGUGCUUGCACCUGGUGGCGAGUGGCGAACGGGUGAGUAAUAUAUCGGAACGUACCUUAUUGUGGGGGAUAACGCAGCGAAAGCUGUGCUAAUACCGCAUAAUCCCUAAGGGGGAAAGCGGGGGACCGUAAGGCCUCGCGCAAUUAGAGCGGCCGAUACCUGAUUAGCUAGUUGGUGAGGUAAAGGCUCACCAAGGCAACGAUCAGUAGCUGGUCUGAGAGGACGAUCAGCCACACUGGGGCUGAGACACGGCCCAGACUCCUACGGGAGGCAGCAGUGGGGAAUUUUGGACAAUGGGGGCAACCCUGAUCCAGCAAUGCCGCGUGAGUGAAGAAGGCCUUCGGGUUGUAAAGCUCUUUUGUCAGGGAAGAAACAGCAGCUCUAACACAGUCUGCGAAUGACGGUACCUGAAGAAUAAGCACCGGCUAACUACGUGCCAGCAGCCGCGGUAA
rnacentral:rRNA from 1 species